rnacentral:rRNA from 1 species
UGAAGCGGCAAAAGCUCAAAUUUGAAAUCUGGUACCUUUGGUGCCCGAGUUGUAAUUUGGAGAGUACCACUUUGGGACUGUACUUUGCCUAUGUUCCUUGGAACAGGACGUCAUGGAGGGUGAGAAUCCCGUGUGGCGAGGGUGUCAGUUCUUUGUAAAGGGUGCUCGAAGAGUCGAGUUGUUUGGGAAUGCAGCUCUAAGUGGGUGGUAAAUUCCAUCUAAAGCUAAAUACAGGCGAGAGACCGAUAGCGAACAAGUACAGUGAUGGAAAGAUGAAAAGAACUUUGAAAAGAGAGUGAAAAAGUACGUGAAAUUGUUGAAAGGGAAGGGCAUUUGAUCAGACAUGGUGUUUUGCGCCCCUUGCCUCUCGUGGGCUUGGGACUCUCGCAGCUCACUGGGCCAGCAUCGGUUUUGGCGGCCGGAAAAAACCUAGGGAAUGUGGCUCUGCGCCUCGGUGUAGAGUGUUAUAGCCCUGGGGAAUACGGCCAGCCGGGACCGAGGACUGCGAUACUUGUUAUCUAGGAUGCUGGCAUAAUGGUUAUAUGCCGCCCGUCUUG